ACGGAAGGCAGCAGUGGGGAAUAUUGCACAAUGGGGGAAACCCUGAUGCAGCGACGCCGCGUGAGCGAUGAAGUAUUUCGGUAUGUAAAGCUCUAUCAGCAGGGAAGAUAAUGACGGUACCUGACUAAGAAGCUCCGGCUAAAUACGUGCCAGCAGCCGCGGUAAUACGUAUGGAGCAAGCGUUAUCCGGAUUUACUGGGUGUAAAGGGAGCGUAGGCGGAAGGCUAAGUCUGAUGUGAAAACCCGGGGCUCAACCGCGGGACUGCAUUGGAAACUGGUCAUCUAGAGUGUCGGAGGGGUAAGUGGAAUUCCUAGUGUAGCGGUGAAAUGCGUAGAUAUUAGGAGGAACACCGGUGGCGAAGGCGGCUUACUGGACGACAACUGACGCUGAGGCUCGAAAGCGUGGGGAGCAAACAGGAUUAGAUACCCUGGUA
rnacentral:rRNA from 2 species